UAGGGGAGCCGGAGGGAAACCGAGUCUUAACCGGGCGUUAAGUUGCAGGGUAUAGACCCGAAACCCGGUGAUCUAGCCAUGGGCAGGUUGAAGGUUGGGUAACACUAACUGGAGGACCGAACCGACUAAUGUUGAAAAAUUAGCGGAUGACCUGUGGCUGGGGGUGAAAGGCCAAUCAAACCGGGAGAUAGCUGGUUCUCCCCGAAAGCUAUUUAGGUAGCGCCUCGUGAAUUCAUCUCCGGGGGUAGAGCACUGUUUCGGCUAGGGGGCCAUCCCGGCUUACCAACCCGAUGCAAACUGCGAAUACCGGAGAAUGUUAUCACGGGAGACACACGGCGGGUGCUAACGUCCGUCGUGAAGAGGGAAACAACCCAGACCGCCAGCUAAGGUCCCAAAGUCAUGGUUAAGUGGGAAACGAUGUGGGAAGGCCCAGACAGCCAGGAUGUUGGCUUAGAAGCAGCCAUCAUUUAAAGAAAGCGUAAUAGCUCACUGGUCGAGUCGGCCUGCGCGGAAGAUGUAACGGGGCUAAACCAUGCACCGAAGCUGCGGCAGCGACACUGUGUGUUGUUGGGUAGGGGAGCGUUCUGUAAGCCUGUGAAGGUGUGUCGUGAGGC
rnacentral:rRNA from 1 species